GACGAACGCUGGCGGCGUGCUUAACACAUGCAAGUCGAGCGGUAAGGCCCUUUCGGGGGUACACGAGCGGCGAACGGGUGAGUAACACGUGGGUGACCUGCCCUUAGCUCUGGGAUAAGCCUGGGAAACUGGGUCUAAUACCGGAUAUGACUCCAUGACGCAUGUUGUGGGGUGGAAAGCCUUGUGCGGCUAGGGAUGGGCCCGCGGCCUAUCAGCUUGUUGGUGGGGUGAUGGCCUACCAAGGCGACGACGGGUAGCCGGCCUGAGAGGGCGACCGGCCACACUGGGACUGAGACACGGCCCAGACUCCUACGGGAGGCAGCAGUGGGGAAUCUUGCGCAAUGGGCGAAAAGCCUGACGCAGCGACGCCGCGUGAGGGA
rnacentral:rRNA from 1 species